CCAGCUGGCUGGAUGACUGCCCUUUGCAACGUCGAAAGAUGGUGAGGGGAGGAAAGUCCGGGCUCCAUGGAAACACGGUGCCGGGUAACGCCCGGCGGGGGUGACCCCAGGGAAAGUGCAACAGAAAGUAUACCACCUCGCAAGAGGCAAGGGUGAAAAGGUGGGGUAAGAGCCCACCGCACAGCCGGCAACGGAUGUGGCAAGGUAAACCCCACCGGGAGCAAGACCGAAUAGGAACACCAUGUUUUGCGCAAGCAAGACCAGCCUGUUUCCAGGUGAGAGUGUUCGGGUAGGUCGCAUUGAGGUGUCCAGCAAUGGCUGCCCCAGAGGAAUGGUCAUCGCCUUCGCUCGUCGAAGUGCACAGAACCCGGCUUACAGGCCAGCUGGUAAA
rnacentral:RNase_P_RNA from 1 species